AAGAGUAGAAGAAACUUCCGGUUUCGGAGACCCUGCCGCCGGGUUACAGUCGACCCCAGUCUCGAGCGGAGGAGACUGCUGGAUUUCUAGUGCGCAGUUUCCACUUUCCUCGUCCUCUAUCUUUUUCGACAAGUUGAAGUGAAAGAGUGUAUGCUGGACACUGUUCUUCUUUUUCUUCCCACUUUGCAGGCAAGUAUCUGGACAAGAGAAACCAUCG
rnacentral:lncRNA from 1 species